AUAAACUCCGCUCAGUUGGUCUAGAGCGCACGCUUCACACGCGUGAGGUCGUAGGUUCUCCCGACAAUUCUUU
rnacentral:tRNA from 1 species